rnacentral:rRNA from 1 species
AUGGCUUAACCAUUAAACUGCUUGGGAAACUGAUAGUCUAGAGUGAGGGAGAGGCAGAUGGAAUUGGUGGUGUAGGGGUAAAAUCCGUAGAUAUCACCAAGAAUACCCAUUGCGAAGGCGAUCUGCUGGAACUCAACUGACGCUAAGGCGCGAAAGCGUGGGGAGCAAACAGGAUUAGAUACCCUGGUAGUCCACGCCCUAAACGAUGUACACUAGUUGUUGGGGUGCUAGUCAUCUCAGUAAUGCAGCUAACGCAUUAAGUGUACCGCCUGGGGAGUACGGUCGCAAGAUUAAAACUCAAAGGAAUAGACGGGGACCCGCACAAGCGGUGGAGCAUGUGGUUUAAUUCGAAGAUACGCGAAGAACCUUACCUGGGCUUGAUAUCCUAAGAACCUUAUAGAGAUAUGAGGGUGCUAGCUUGCUAGAACUUAGAGACAGGUGCUGCACGGCUGUCGUCAGCUCGUGUCGUGAGAUGUUGGGUUAAGUCCCGCAACGAGCGCAACCCACGUAUUUAGUUGCUAACGGUUCGGCCGAGCACUCUAAAUAGACUGCCUUCGUAAGGAGGAGGAAGGUGUGGACGACGUCAAGUCAUCAUGGCCCUUAUGCCCAGGGCGACACACGUGCUACAAUGGCAUAUACAAUGAGACGCAAUACCGCGAGGUGGAGCAAAUCUAUAAAAUAUGUCCCAGUUCGGAUUGUUCUCUGCAACUCGAGAGCAUGAAGCCGGAAUCGCUAGUAAUCGUAG